UUGAACGCUGGCGGCAGGCCUAACACAUGCAAGUCGAGCGGUAGCACAGAGAGCUUGCUCUCGGGUGACGAGCGGCGGACGGGUGAGUAAUGUCUGGGAAACUGCCUGAUGGAGGGGGAUAACUACUGGAAACGGUAGCUAAUACCGCAUAACGUCGCAAGACCAAAGUGGGGGACCUUCGGGCCUCAUGCCAUCAGAUGUGCCCAGAUGGGAUUAGCUAGUAGGUGGGGUAACGGCUCACCUAGGCGACGAUCCCUAGCUGGUCUGAGAGGAUGACCAGCCACACUGGAACUGAGACACGGUCCAGACUCCUACGGGAGGCAGCAGUGGGGAAUAUUGCACAAUGGGCGCAAGCCUGAUGCAGCCAUGCCGCGUGUGUGAAGAAGGCCUUCGGGUUGUAAAGCACUUUCAGCGGGGAGGAAGGCGUUAAGGUUAAUAACCUUGGCGAUUGACGUUACCCGCAGAAGAAGCACCGGCUAACUCCGUGCCAGCAGCCGCGGUAAUACGGAGGGUGCAAGCGUUAAUCGGAAUUACUGGGCGUAAAGCGCACGCAGGCGGUCUGUCAAGUCGGAUGUGAAAUCCCCGGGCUCAACCUGGGAACUGCAUUCGAAACUGGCAGGCUAGAGUCUUGUAGAGGGGGGUAGAAUUCCAGGUGUAGCGGUGAAAUGCGUAGAGAUCUGGAGGAAUACCGGUGGCGAAGGCGGCCCCCUGGACAAAGACUGACGCUCAGGUGCGAAAGCGUGGGGAGCAAACAGGAUUAGAUACCCUGGUAGUCCACGCCGUAAACGAUGUCGAUUUGGAGGUUGUGCCCUUGAGGCGUGGCUUCCGGAGCUAACGCGUUAAAUCGACCGCCUGGGGAGUACGGCCGCAAGGUUAAAACUCAAAUGAAUUGACGGGGGCCCGCACAAGCGGUGGAGCAUGUGGUUUAAUUCGAUGCAACGCGAAGAACCUUACCUGGUCUUGACAUCCACAGAACUUAGCAGAGAUGCUUUGGUGCCUUCGGGAACUGUGAGACAGGUGCUGCAUGGCUGUCGUCAGCUCGUGUUGUGAAAUGUUGGGUUAAGUCCCGCAACGAGCGCAACCCUUAUCCUUUGUUGCCAGCGGUUAGGCCGGGAACUCAAAGGAGACUGCCAGUGAUAAACUGGAGGAAGGUGGGGAUGACGUCAAGUCAUCAUGGCCCUUACGACCAGGGCUACACACGUGCUACAAUGGCAUAUACAAAGAGAAGCGACCUCGCGAGAGCAAGCGGACCUCAUAAAGUAUGUCGUAGUCCGGAUUGGAGUCUGCAACUCGACUCCAUGAAGUCGGAAUCGCUAGUAAUCGUAGAUCAGAAUGCUACGGUGAAUACGUUCCCGGGCCUUGUACACACCGCCCGUCACACCAUGGGAGUGGGUUGCAAAAGAAGUAGGUAGCUUAACCUUCGGGAGGGCGCUUACCACUUUGUGAUUCAUGACUGGGGUG
rnacentral:rRNA from 1 species